CUCGUAAUUCAUCAGGCAUCGCUUCAUCGCCAUAGAAAGAACAUUCCUCGGUAACAUAAUUAUACAGGCAGGAUGUAAGGUUCUUGAAAACUUUUCUGGAUCUUCGAAUGCAAAAUUUUAAUCGCUCUAAUCCAAAGAAAUUCAUAGUUUCAAUUUUAAUAAAGAUCCAUAAGUGUUAUCUUUGAACUUAUCAGAAACUUCUGGUACUCAGAUAUAAAAUAUUCUGAAGACUUCAUUAAACGAGAUACAGGUUGUUCUAUUGGGUGCUACAUAAAUUACAGCCGAACUUGAAAAAUACCAAUUUCAUUUGGAUGGAAAUGAAUUCUGUCUCAUCUUGAAUCGAUCAUUGAUACUGCACGUCUCCUGCAAAAUGUAUGAAUCAAGAUAGAAUCGCUCGAUUGAAUUCAUCGGUUAAAAGGUUCCGGAAUUUUGUCAGAUAAGUUGGUUGUUUGAACAAGCAGGCCAAAUGUUUCUCCCUUUUCAUCAUCAUUCUUCUUCUUUUUCUUCGCAACAGCAAAGGUCGUACAACCGCAUCUACAUGAGAGGUAACGAGGAGCCGUUCUGUCGCAAUAGAGAGACAACGCGAGUCACGAUCGGUCAAGAGAGUUUCGAACCGAAAUGCCGCUCUCAGAUAAAAUUGCAUUUCCGUAAUAGCCGUUCGCGGUUGGCACCCUACUUUGAAAAAAUUGACCGUGAGAAUUUGAUAUCGAUAUCUUUAGAAUUUAGUUUACGAAGAUUACUGCUUCAUCUUUAACGCUAUUUUCCCGAGAGAAGCCUGAUUUCAUUUAUUUUUUAAUUAGAAAUUACGAUCUUCGCUGUUGCCAAACGGAAACGACGAUCCGUUCUUCCUGAUCUCAUUGCGGCUCGCAAUACGGGAUAACUUUGAAAUUUACGUAAUUCUUAAAUAUAUCCAGUUGCGUGCUAGAACUCGAAUAACCAUCCAAUUACAUUGUAUUCUUUAUCUCUCUGUUAAGUUUAAUUUUCCACGAGAUAAUCGUUUCGUAUGCAAACGAAUCUCGGGUCGAACGUCGUUUUUAAUGUCUUCCAUCGUAUAGACAGCCUGCUGACAUGUAAUUUAUGUUGUGCAACAUUCAAACAGGCUGAAAAUAUCUUACAAAUAAAUGCUACCAAUUAUGGCACUCGUAGACAAAGUUUAUAAGUUCCGAAGGGUCAGGUAAAAUAUUUUUCAAAUAAUCUAUGCCAUAUAAUUAAGGAAUCGAUUAUAGUAAAAUUUUAUUCAAUUGUAGUCGCAAUAAUUUAUAAUAACGUUUAAUGGCAUAUUUUAUGGUCAUUCUCCUAAUGAGCGUUUGAUUGAAAAUAUUAAUAAACAUUCCAACAGACGUUUACCUCUAAUCAAUUAGUCAUAGUCAUUUUUGACGUUACAAUCAUCAAAUGUUGAGAUUGAAGGUUGAACAAAUGGAUUCUCAUACCUUAAUUGAUGCACGUUUAUUAGUUUGCAAGCUAUUGAAAAUAAUUAUUCUUUUUACUGUCGUCAUAAUGAAACGCUCGUCGAUUGAUCAUUGAAAAAUAUUUUCAUAGCUACCGCGUAGUCAAUACACAAACUCGUCUUCGAGCAUUAAUUAUCCGUUCGAUUUAUCGUAGCAUUCAUCAUUAUUAUUCAAUAAUGCCAUAUGUUCACCAAAACUGAGAUGAAAAAAACCUGUUAUACCUACAUAAAAACAGAUCGAUCCUACAACGAUUAUACUCUUUUUCUUCUCUCUAGGUAAGAGGAGAGACGAAGCAGUCACUUGCAAGAUGUUAACGAUUUUGUAACCUGGAUCAUCCGCCUCGAGGGCAAUGGGGUAAAGCAAUGACAAAUUUGGAAUUUCCUCAAAAAAUAAGGGAUGAUACCAUUCCGUUUAAAAAUUUGUAAGUAACUGAUGGUAGAAUCGAAAAAUUUGCAACAAGGAGUUUAAACUCGAAUGGUGAUCGGAAUCUGCAGCCGCAUCGAAUGUGAAAGCCAAAUCUGCGAAACGUCGGAUUUUUACCCCUCGUCGUUUGUUGGCAGAUGCCUGGAGGCAUUCGAACACGCGGUCGAGCGUCCUUGAAGAUGCGCCGGGAACGAAGAAGACACCGAGGAUGCCUGCGGCUACCGCGUCUCCGCUGGUAGCGAUUGGCAUCCGAUACUCUCUCUUGUAAAAAAUAUAUAUAUAUAUAUACUGAUCGAAUUGAGUAACCUCCUCCUUUUUCGAAAUCGGUUAAAAAUAGGCGGAUUUUGAUACUCAAUGAUUAAGGAAGAUAAAUGUCAAACAGAGAGCUGGCUUCUUUUUAACGAUUCCAGCAAGGAUUUUUUAUUACAAGUUGACUGUCUACAAUUUUUCUGUAGUUGCAUUUAUAAUAUUAAUGUAGUGGGCUGAUAAUUUGUAGAUACAAAUUAUACUGUGAAAUCAACCACUUCAAUCGAUGAAGAAUUAUGUCAGCCCUCUGUUUCUUCAUCGGUUAUUUAAUAUUUCUAAGUCAACAAAGGAAUACAAGUUAAUCUCCGAUCCAAGAAAGUACAGCAAACACUUCAUUCAUACUUUUGAAUACUGUAAGUUUACCUCCAGACUUUCGCACGUUACCUCAAUAUUUACUUAAUCUACGGCUAUGAAUAAUUAAAUUUCCUUUCGUCAAACUGAAAAUACAUAACUUUACUAA